GCCUACGGGGGGCAGCAGUAGGGAAUUUUCGUCAAUGGGAGCAAGCCUGAACGAGCAAUGCCGCGUGAACGAGGAAGGUCUUCGGAUCGUAAAGUUCUGUUGAAGGGGAAAAAGAGCGGAGAGAGGAAAUGGUCUCCGAUUGAUAUUACCCUUCGAGGAAGUCACGGCUAACUACGUGCCAGCAGCCGCGGUAAUACGUAGGUGGCGAGCGUUAUCCGGAAUGAUUGGGCGUAAAGGGGGCGUAGGCGGCCUGCUAAGUCUGGCGUGAAAGGUACCGGCUCAACCGGUACAGGCUCUGGCAACUG
rnacentral:rRNA from 1 species